rnacentral:lncRNA from 10 species
UACACUUCUUAUCCAAGGCUGAAGAGUUGCAGGCCCACUGAUGUGAAAACAGUACAGGAUUCAUUAACAAUGCUUUCAACCCAAAUUUUGGCAACACAUCCUAAAAAAAUAUGGCGGACAUUUUGUAAUUAGAAAGAAAUUUACACCAGGACCACAGACAAGGUAGCAUCGAGCAAUGAAAUAAUUACUUCUGAAAUCAAGAGAUGUGGCAGUGGAGUUCCGUAGCAGGGUGGAAUGAUUACAAAGGAGCACAAAGAAACUUUCAGGGAUAAAAGGUAUGUACAUCAUAUUCAUAAGCUGUUAAAAUUUAAUGUACAUACUGUGAAAGGAAAAUAUAUCUCAAGACCCUAGAAUCACUAAGCCAAAUAAAUGGAAAAGUCAAGCUGAAAACUGCAGAGGGCAAACCUGCCUCCCAUUCUAUUCCUAAAAAGAUAGCUACAAAUAAAAAUGCUACAUACCCUCCUUACAAUUGUCCACAAGGAAAUUCCUUGUUGGCAGUAUCUGAUUGCUUCCUUUCGAAAGGCUAAUCAGAAACUCAAAGGAAUGCAAUCGUUUGUCUCUUAUCUACCUACGACCUGGAAGCCCCCUCCCUGCUUCGAAUUGUCUCGCCUUUCCAGACAAAACCAGUGAACAUCUUACAUAUGUCAAUUGAUAUCUCAUGUUUCCUUAAAAUGCAUAAAGCCAAGCUGUGCCCCAACCACCUUGGGCACAUGUCAUCUGGACCUCCUGAGGCUGUGUCACAGGCCUAUCCUUAAUCUUGACAAAAUAAACAUUCUAAAUUUAAUGAGACCUGUCUUAGAUUUUUGGGGUGCACAAUACUAAUUACAUAGGGAUAUUGUGAAAGUAUAGAUUCUAACUCAGUUGGUCUGCACUGGGACCUGAGUUUCUAAAUUUCUAAUAAUCUCUCAGGUUAUGUCAAAACUGUUUCUCCUAAUGCUGCACUUUGAGUAGCAAAGCUGUAUUACAUUGUUUCACAAUCUAUCUGAAAGAAAGGUCAGAUUUUAUAAAAAAUAUUUUUCAAACAGUUAUAUACUGAUAUAAAUAAAAAUGAAAUAAAAGCAAAGAUACAAAAGUAUAACCCAUGUUAUUGGAUGUGACAGAGGUAACAUACUCUGUCAAAUAACAUUAAAAUUUCUAAUUCCUUACUCAAAAUUUAUGCAGGUAAGUUGCGAUAACAGUUUAUGGUUGGAUGUUAGCCCAUAGACCACACUUUGAGAAUCACUGUUCUAUUGAGUAUUCAGAAUAAUGGUAAUUUGUAGCACAGUAUUAUUCUUUUCUUCCUGAA